rnacentral:rRNA from 1 species
AGUGAACGCUGGCGGUAGGCCUAACACAUGCAAGUCGAACGGCAGCACAGUAAGAGCUUGCUCUUACGGGUGGCGAGUGGCGGACGGGUGAGGAAUACAUCGGAAUCUACUUUUUCGUGGGGGACAACGUAGGGAAACUUAUGCUACUACAGCAUAUGAUCUACGGGUGAAAGCAGGGGUUCUUCGGACCUUUCGCGAUUGAAUGAGCCGAUGUCGGAUUAGCUAGUUGGCGGGGUAAAGGCCCACCAAGGCGACGAACCGUAGCUGAUCUGAGAGGAUGAUCAGCCACACUGGAACUGAGACACGGUCCAGACUCCUACGGGAGGCAGCAGUGGGGAAUAUUGGACAAAGGGCGAAAGCCUGAUCCAGCCAUGCCGCGUGAGUGAUGAAGGCCUUCGGAUUGUAAAGCCCUUUUGUUGGGAAAGAAAAGCAGCGGGUUAAUACCUCGCUGUUUUGACGGUACCCAAAGAAUAAGCACCGGCUAACUACGUG